rnacentral:rRNA from 1 species
CUGGGAAACUGCCUGAUGGAGGGGGAUAACGACUGGAAACGGUGGCUAAUACCGCAUAAGGUCGCAAGACCAAAGAGGGGGACCUUCGGGCCUCUUGCCAUCAGAUGUGCCCAGAUGGGAUUAGCUUGUUGGUGAGGUAACGGCUCACCAAGGCGACGAUCCCUAGCUGGUCUGAGAGGAUGACCAGCCACACUGGAACUGAGACACGGUCCAGACUCCUACGGGAGGCAGCAGUGGGGAAUAUUGCACAAUGGGCGCAAGCCUGAUGCAGCCAUGCCGCGUGUAUGAAGAAGGCCUUCGGGUUGUAAAGUACUUUCAGCGGGGAGGAAGGUGUUGUGGUUAAUAACCGCAGCAAUUGACGUUACCCGCAGAAGAAGCACCGGCUAACUCCGUGCCAGCAGCCGCGGUAAUACGGAGGGUGCAAGCGUUAAUCGGAAUUACUGGGCGUAAAGCGCACGCAGGCGGUCUGUCAAGUCGGAUGUGAAAUCCCCGGGCUCAACCUGGGAACUGCAUUCGAAACUGGCAGGCUUGAGUCUUGUAGAGGGGGGUAGAAUUCCAGGUGUAGCGGUGAAAUGCGUAGAGAUCUGGAGGAAUACCGGUGGCGAAGGCGGCCCCCUGGACAAAGACUGACGCUCAGGUGCGAAAGCGUGGGGAGCAAACAGGAUUAGAUACCCUGGUAGUCCACGCCGUAAACGAUGUCUACUUGGAGGUUGUGCCCUUGAGGCGUGGCUUCCGGAGCUAACGCGUUAAGUAGACCGCCUGGGGAGUACGGCCGCAAGGUUAAAACUCAAAUGAAUUGACGGGGGCCCGCACAAGCGGUGGAGCAUGUGGUUUAAUUCGAUGCAACGCGAAGAACCUUACCUGGUCUUGACAUCCACAGAACUUUCCAGAGAUGGAUUGGUGCCUUCGGGAACUGUGAGACAGGUGCUGCAUGGCUGUCGUCAGCUCGUGUUGUGAAAUGUUGGGUUAAGUCCCGCAACGAGCGCAACCCUUAUCCUUUGUUGCCAGCGGUCCGGCCGGGAACUCAAAGGAGACUGCCAGUGAUAAACUGGAGGAAGGUGGGGAUGACGUCAAGUCAUCAUGGCCCUUACGACCAGGGCUACACACGUGCUACAAUGGCGCAUACAAAGAGAAGCGACCUCGCGAGAGCAAGCGGACCUCAUAAAGUGCGUCGUAGUCCGGAUUGGAGUCUGCAACUCGACUCCAUGAAGUCGGAAUCGCUAGUAAUCGUGGAUCAGAAUGCCACGGUGAAUACGUUCCCGGGCCUUGUACACACCGCCCGUCACACCAUGGGAGUGGGUUGCAAAAGAAGUAGGUAGCUUAACCUUCGGGAGGGCGCUUACCACUUUGUGAUUCAUGACUGGGGUGAAGUCGUAACAAGGUAACCGUAGGGGAACCUGCGGUUGGAUCACCUCCUUACCUUAAAGAAGC